CCAAAGAGGUGGAUCUUCCAAAGGCUGCCAGGAAAGCUGACUUGGAAACACGGGGAGGUGGCAGGGAGGGGCAAAAAGGACUCUGGCAAGCAGAUCCACUUGUCUGGGUCCCUGCAGUGAAGAACCCAAGAUCCAGGUACCUCAGCCUGGAAGAAACCGUGCACUGCAGGUCUUCCCUUCUAUCAAAACUAAAAGCAAGGAACAGAAGUCAAUUGAAACCCCAGGUCAUCCUACCCACCUUCUGGCAGUCUCUGGAUAAUGAUCUAAGGAAAUAAGCUUACAUUUAUAAUUAGAGGAUAAUUUGGAGAAUUUAUACUAUUUACACGGACCACCCUGCAAAGAUCAGGGAAGGUAAGAGACUGCUGGGCAGAGAAUGGAAACAGGCUGGGGGGUUCCUAAUCUCUUUUCACCAUUGCCUUUGUUGUUCCCACCCUUCAGCUCCUGGCAGGGACAGCAGAGGAAUCAGAUACUCUUGGGGAACACAAGGUCCCAGCAGUGGCUAGGGUGUGACUGCUACUUUUGCAUAAUCAGGCAGCAGGGAGCUAUGAGGAGCAGAACAGUCCCUGCCUGCUGUCCUCACUCAGAGGCUUGGGGUGCACUGAGCCUUGGAGUGCCCGGGAUGGUGGACAGCUUGAGCACAGGGGCAAGGGCAGGGCUCUACUGUAGCUCAGGAAUAAACUGGGACCAGUUGAUGUUGUCAGGGCCCAGUGGGUCCUCGUCCAGGCCAGGAAAGCUGAUGUCCAGCAGGAUCUUGCUGAGGCUGUCAUUCAUUGUGUCCAGGACCAGGCCUUCUGUCAGAGAACGAUUGGCUGCAAGGCCAGAAACCUGUGGCUCCGGGGAGCCUGGCUUGGGGACGUCUAUAUCUGAGGGAGAAGAGUUGCCAAAGGGGACGGAGAUGAGGUCUAAGGGUUCUGAACUGAGGAGCCUUUGCGGUGAUUCAAGGGGGGGAGCACUUUGCAAGGGAGUGGUGCUGAGAUCCAUCAGCCCCAGGGGGUCAGGCAAGGGGUCAGAGGCACCCUGGGAGGUUUGUACUGGGCUGAAAUCCAGUCCCCCUACUUUGGCUGGGGGCGUGAGCCUCCAGGAUUCAGGGGUUCUGGGGAGGACAGAUUUGCUCGGGGUGGAGGAGAUGGGCAGCGUUUCCUUAAUGGGUGUCUUAAAAGGUCCUCCCACUUCCUGGGAGUAGCUGAGCUGGGAGGCAGGGUCAGAGGAGUCUGCUGGGAACGGGAGCUCUGCGGCCCAGCGGGAAGUACUGGGCCCCUCUGAGAAGAGCAGCUCCGGCUCAUCCACACAGGGAGGCAGUAGAUGCUGUUUUCUCCGAGACCGGCUCCUCUCCCUCCUCUCCCUGUGUUGAAUCACAAGCAUUUCCGAGACACACCGGGUUGGGGACCUAAGCCCACUGUAGGACUUCUUGGGUCUUGGGGUGGGAGAUUGGGACGAAUCCUCCCAGGAGUGAGAUGAUUCCUCUUUGAAAGAUGGGGCCGGGGAGGGCCACUCUUCCAAGGGAGGGCUCUCCACUUUGAUGGGUCUCGCUAAGUGUGGCAUUUCCUCCCCAGGCUGGAUUUCUUCCUCCUUGAUAGUCUGAACUGGAAGCAAAGGAGAAAACCCUUCUCCAAACAGGAGUUUCUCCUCUUUCCCUGGUCCUGCAGAAGAAAGAGGAGCUAUCCCCUCCUCAGCUAGCAGCACCUGAAAGGGAAACAGAGAUAAGGUGAACCAACGGUCACCAGACAGGACGCACAAAAAUAUCAC
rnacentral:lncRNA from 1 species